rnacentral:rRNA from 1 species
GAUGAACGCUGGCGGCGUGCCUAAUACAUGCAGGUCGAGCGAACGGACGAGAAGCUUGCUUCUCUGAUGUUAGCGGCGGACGGGUGAGUAACACGUGGAUAACCUACCUAUAAGACUGGGAUAACUUCGGGAAACCGGAGCUAAUACCGGAUGAUAUUUUGAACCGCAUGGUUCAAAAGUGAAAGACGGUCUUGCUGUCACUUAUAGAUGGAUCAGCGCUGCAUUAGCUAGUUGGUAAGGUAACGGCUUACCAAGGCAACGAUGCAUAGCCGACCUGAGAGGGUGAUCGGCCACACUGGAACUGAGACACGGUCCAGACUCCUACGGGAGGCAGCAGUAGGGAAUCUUCCGCAAUGGGCGAAAGCCUGACGGAGCAACGCCGCGUGAGUGAUGAAGGUCUUCGGAUCGUAAAACUCUGUUAUUAGGGAAGAACAUAUGUGUAAGUAACUGUGCACAUCUUGACGGUACCUAAUCAGAAAGCCACGGCUAACUACGUG